rnacentral:rRNA from 1 species
CCUACGGGAGGCAGCAGUGGGGAAUAUUGCACAAUGGGCGCAAGCCUGAUGCAGCAACGCCGCGUGAGGGACGACGGCCUUCGGGUUGUAAACCUCUUUUAGUAGGGAAGAAGCGAGGUGUUUAUUCACUUCAUGACGGUACCUGCAGAAAAAGCACCGGCUAACUACGUGCCAGCAGCCGCGGUAAUACGUAGGGUGCAAGCGUUAUCCGGAAUUAUUGGGCGUAAAGAGCUCGUAGGCGGUUUGUCGCGUCUGCUGUGAAAACUGGGGGCUCAACCCCCAGCCUGCAGUGGGUACGGGCAGACUAGAGUGCGGUAGGGGAGAUUGGAAUUCCUGGUGUAGCGGUGGAAUGCGCAGAUAUCAGGAGGAACACCAAUGGCGAAGGCAGAUCUCUGGGCCGUAACUGACGCUGAGGAGCGAAAGCAUGGGGAGCGAACAGGAUUAGAUACCCUGGUAGUCCAUGCCGUAAACGUUGGGAACUAGAUGUAGGGUCCAUUCCACGGAUUCUGUGUCGCAGCUAACGCAUUAAGUUCCCCGCUGGGGAAUCGGCCGCAAGGCUAAAACNCAAAGGAAUUGACGGCUGAGACGNGACGACGACGACGACGAGGGAGGAGG